rnacentral:ncRNA from 1 species
GUAUAAUUUGGCUUUGGUUAUAAUAUAGGCUAUUAUUAGGUUAAUAUAUGUUAGGUUUAUAAAUAAUCAUUUUAUCUAUAAUAUUAUUUAUUUGGUUUGUUUAAUAUAAAUUAAGUAAUAAAUAUUACAUGUUAAUAUUUUAUUAUAAUGUUUGAAAGGGAUUACGCAGUAUUUAUUAUUAUACAAUGAAUGAAAGUUUGAUAUAGUUAAUGUAAAUUAAAAGUGGUUAAAUUGGUGCCAGCAUCUGCGGUUAUACUAGUGCUUUGAGUUUAUAUUUAUGUAGUAUAAAAUAAAGUAAUAAUAUUAAUAUAUUUAGGUCAAUUAAGGGCAAUAGUUGUAGGUAAAAUUUAAUAAUUGUUAUUAUUUAUAUUGUUCUAGUAUGUAAAGUCUUUGAAAAUAGGGAUGAAAACUAGGAUUAGAUACCCUAUUAUUCUUUAUUUUAAAAAUUUUUAUUAUUUAAGUAGUGUAAACAAAUAAUUUUGUAAUGAGUGUUUAAAUUUUAUUAAAGUGUUUGAAACUUAAAAGGCUUGGCGGUAUUAUAUAUCCUUCCAGGGGAGUUUGCUUAUUAAUUUGAUAAUCCUCAAUUUAUAUUUACUUUUUUUUGAAUGUUUAAUAAAUCAGUUUGUGUAUUGCUGUCAUCAGUUUAUUUUGUAAAAAUUUUGUAAGAAACUUAAUAAUGGAUUGGUUAGUAUGUCAAGUCAAAAUGCAGCUAAUAAAAAAGGUUUAUAAAGUGAGCUACAAUUUAUAAUUUUUAAUUCGGAUUGGAUUUUAUGUAAUUUUUUUAUGAAGUUGGACUUGGUAGUAAUAUUAAUAAUAGUAGGUUUUUGUGAAUAAGGUUUUAUAAUGCGUACAUAUCGCCCGUCGCUCUUGUUGGAAAAUAAGAUAAGUCGUAACAUAGUAGAGGUAGUGGAAGCUGUUUCUGGUUAUAU